AGACGUUGACUUUUGGAGCUGUCAGAGGGAAAACUCAUGCAUAAAAAAAUAUGCUAGAAAUAAUAAAAUGGCAAAAUGCACAAAGUCCCGAAUUGCAACAUUUCGUUGGAGGGUAGAUAAGCAAGAGGCGGCAAACUUGCCAGUGGAGAGCUGUUCUUCCGCUCCAAAAGAAGAAGACGAUGAAGCGCUGGUGGCGUUCAUUUAUUGUAUUUGCUUUGUCGACCGACUGCUGCAGGGUAUUUUGUGUGGCAGAAACAUGGAUGCAAAUAUAGGGAGGUGCUGCUGUGACACAACACCGCAUGUUGCAGGCCAAAAGUAUGAAAUAGUAGCUGGGGAAUCGUGGCAACGGCAGCCAAAUUGAGAUACGCGACAACGCUGCGUAUGCGUAAUAUGCAAACAUCGUUGGCGGCUGUCGUUAGCGUUGGGUAGAUGUGUGGCGUUUCCCGGUGCCUGUUGGCUGCCACAAAGAUAAAAGCCAACCGCCAGAUGUCUUUCAAUACCAGUCUUGUUAUGUCACACAAAGAGAAAGCAACAACAGUAUUGUAUUCUCAUUUCCCUAAUAC
ensembl:ncRNA lncRNA:CR46500 long non-coding RNA:CR46500